rnacentral:rRNA from 1 species
AGAAUCAACGCUGGCGGCGUGCCUAACACAUGCAAGUCGCACGAGAAAGGGUAGCAAUACCUGAGUACAGUGGCGCACGGGUGAGUAACACGUGAAUGAUCUACCUCCGAGUGGGGAAUAACUGAGAGAAAUCUUAGCUAAUACCGCAUAAUACCCACGGGUCAAAGCAGCAAUGCGCUUGGAGAGGAGUUCGCGGCCGAUUAGUUAGUUGGCGGGGUAAUGGCCCACCAAGACGAUGACCGGUA